ensembl:lncRNA
UCCCCUCCCUCCGCCGUGCGCGCGGCCGGGCUCGGCGGGUGCCGUGAUUGGAAUCCGGCUCCGGCCCGCCCCGCCCGCUCCGCAGGGACGCGCCGGGCGUCGGGAGCGCCUGCCGGGGAGCGAGCCUGCGCCGAGCCGCCCCGCCCCGCCCCGCCCCGCCCUCCCCCUCCCGGCGCUCGGCCGCCUUCGCUCCCGUCUCCCAGGAGCCGUCGGGGUCCCGGGCGCGGCCUGCGUAACGCAGCGGGAGCGGCUCCCUCCUGCUUCGCCUUCUCUCCCGCCGCAGAGGAUGAGGAGCCCCCCGGAGCGGGGUGUCAACCACAGCAGAAGACCGUGUUAGCUGUGGGGACAGUCUUCAGUAUUCUCAGAGGAAGCUCAGACCGUGUGUGUACCUCCGCAGUUGAGGUAAAAUAGUUGUUUUUUUAGAUCUCUUAUGAACAGAAGCACUUCUCAGAACUGUUUUGGGUACUUGGAGAGCUGUGGGCUGUGAUGAAAGUAGUUGUUGUACAGCACAAUCUUUAACCCACUUGGUUUAGUAGAAAGCUUGGCAAAUCAGAUUCUGACUUGAUGUCUUCAUGCUGGAUGAACUAGCCAACUUUGAUGUGUCACCCGUGCUGUAAGCUGAUGAGAUUGCCUUUGGGAAUGGCCUACUGAAGAACUGCUUUUAUUUAACAACAAGCUGCUGUCAGAUAGCUUUCAGCCCCAAAGUCUGGAGAAUCAGCUGAUUUUUCACUCUCUUGGCUCAUUGGACCUGUCAGUGAAGAAUAUUUGAGACAACUGAAAGAUACGCUUUACUGUGAGCAUGGAGCCUGCUUGUAAAGCAGCUAUAGAUGAUUAGCCCCAUUAAGUCCUCUGGGUGACUCCAGAUGGUGUAGGUAUGCCAGAAUGGACUAGUAAGAAAAGUGAAGAUUUAAAACCUUUCUGCUGUAGGAAUAUUACAUCUUCCGGGACGAAGUAAGAGCCUAGUGGAAUUUUCUGUUCUUUUUGCCAAGGCAGACUUCUGUUACGUAUCUAAGUCAGUAUCACAGGAGGUUUAUGUCUGGAUUCUCAUCAUGACCCCAGUAAAAAACUCAUUGUGUGACAAGGAAUUCUGAAGGGUACGGUGCCUUAUGAUAUAUGUACCAGUACUUUUGUCACUGCAUAAAACUCAGUCACUCUUUCUUUCUGUCUCAUACUGCACAGUCCAGCGUCACUCAGGAACUUAAUUAAAUUUUAAAAUUAGUUUUCAUGGGGGUAUAUUUUUAUUGAAGUGGGAGAUUGAUCAAAAACUGUCUUGCCUCAAGGAUUGGAUAAAGGUGCUUGAACCGUUUUUCAGGCUCUUUUAAUAUCGUGCUACCCGAUAUUCAGGCUGCAGAGCACUAAGUUUGUUCACCCCUAGCAUCACUUCGUUUUGUGUAUUGGUCCCAUAUGUUUUGAAAGGGCUAUUUGUUUACUAGGAUGCUCAUAGAUACCUUUAUUGUUCCACAGACAACACCACCAAUCCUCAGAUGUGCUGCAGGCCAUAUUUGUUCUUUUCCAGCUUAGUGUGGCUUUUCUCACAUGUACAUUUGUUGAAAAGGAUUUCCUUAAGAAAUUCGUAUCCUUGAACGUGAACUUUGAAAUAGUACUUGAAAAUUUGGUAUGGCAGCUUUUUAAAAUUCGACUCUAAUUUUACAGCUAUAUUGGACUUGUCAUAGCAGUCUAAUCAUGGUUUUGAUCAGUUUAUAGCUUACAGCAGCUCUGGCUACAUUUUCCAGUGGCAGUCAUAAGACUGAAGUAUCUUCCAGGGUACUCUCACAGCCUGGACUUGCAGUGUAUUUUCUGUGUUCACAAAUUUCUAAUAAAAACUUAUUUUUUGCCUGUGGUUUGCCCUAA